rnacentral:tRNA from 1 species
CUUACUAUAAAUUUCAUUGUUGCCGGUAAUGGCAUGUAGAAUAGGACUCUAUCUUUAUUCUCGUCCGAUU